rnacentral:tRNA from 2 species
UGAUAAUUAGUUUAAAAUAAAACAAGUGAUUUCGACUCACUAAACUAUGGGCUGCCAUAAUUAUCAA